AACGAACGCUGGCGGCAGGCUUAACACAUGCAAGUCGAACGCGUCCUUCGGGGUGAGUGGCAGACGGGUGAGUAACGCGUGGGAACGUGCCCUUCAGUUCGGGAUAACCCAGGGAAACUUGGGCUAAUACCGGAUACGUGCGAGAGCAGAAAGAUUUAUCGCUGAAGGAUCGGCCCGCGUCUGAUUAGCUAGUUGGUGGGGUAAUGGCCCACCAAGGCGACGAUCAGUAGCUGGUCUGAGAGGAUGAUCAGCCACAUUGGGACUGAGACACGGCCCAAACUCCUACGGGAGGCAGCAGUGGGGAAUAUUGGACAAUGGGCGCAAGCCUGAUCCAGCCAUGCCGCGUGAGUGAUGAAGGCCUUAGGGUUGUAAAGCUCCUUCGUCCGGGACGAUAAUGACGGUACCGGAAGAAGAAGCCCCGGCUAACUUCGUGCCAGCCGCCGGGUAA
rnacentral:rRNA from 1 species